CAAACAACAAGAUUCAGGCAUUUCUGUUUUACCUCAGUAUUGGUUUGUACCAGCACAUUGGCAUGGGGUGUAAACCUUCCAGGUCAUCAUCUGGUCAAUAUUAAGGUAAGGCAAAACUUGUGCAGUAUCUU